GCCCCUUUACUGGGACUGAUGAGUACAGAGCCCACACCUCCUUCAGUGGGAUGGACAGGGCACAAAGCCCAUGCCCUUUCACUGAGACUGACAGGCACAGAGCCCACGCCUCUUCACUGGGACUGACAGGCACAGAGCCCACGCCUCUUCACUGGGACUGACAGGCACAGAACCCAUGCCCCUUCAAUGGGACUGACAGGCACAGAGCUCAUGUCCCAUCACUGGAACUGACAGGCACAGAGCCCACGCCUCGUUCACUGGGACUGAGGGGUACAGAGCCCAAGCCUCCUUCACUUGGACUGAGGGGUACAGAGCCCACGCCUCCUUCACUGGGACUGUGGGGUACAGAGCCCAUGCCUCCUUCACUGGGACUGAGGGGUACAGAGCCCACGCAUCCUUCACUGGGACUGAGGGGUACAGAGCCCACGCAUCCUUCACUGGGACUGACAGACACAGAGCCCAUGUCUCUACACUGAGACUGACAGGCACAGAGCCCAUGUCUCUUCACUGGGACUGACAGACACAGAGACCAUGUCUCUUCACUGGGACUGACAGACACAGAGCCCAUGUCUCUUCACUGGGACUGACAGGCACAGAACCCAUGCCCCUUCAAUGGGACUGACAGGCACAGAACCCAUGCCCCUUCAAUGGGACUGACAGGCACAGAGC
ensembl:lncRNA